AACGAACGCUGGCGGCAGGCCUAACACAUGCAAGUCGAGCGAGACCUUCGGGUCUAGCGGCGGACGGGUUAGUAACGCGUGGGAACGUGCCCUUCUCUGCGGAAUAGCCACUGGAAACGGUGAGUAAUACCGCAUACGCCCUUCGGGGGAAAGAUUUAUCGGAGAAGGAUCGGCCCGCGUUAGAUUAGAUUGUUGGUGGGGUAACGGCCUACCAAGUCUACGAUCUAUAGCUGGUUUUAGAGGAUGAUCAGCAACACUGGGACUGAGACACGGCCCAGACUCCUACGGGAGGCAGCAGUGGGGAAUCUUAGACAAUGGGCGCAAGCCUGAUCUAGCCAUGCCGCGUGUGUGAUGAAGGUCUUAGGAUCGUAAAGCACUUUCGCCAGGGAUGAUAAUGACAGUACCUGGUAAAGAAACCCCGGCUAACUCCGUG
rnacentral:rRNA from 1 species